rnacentral:rRNA from 1 species
UACGUAGGGGGCGAGCGUUGUCCGGGAUUAUUGGGCGUAAAGAGCGUGUAGGCGGUUCGGUAAGUCUGUCGUGAAAACCUGGGGCUCAACCUCGGGCGUGCGAUGGAUACUGCCGGGCUAGAGGGUGGUAGAGGCGAGUGGAAUUCCCGGUGUAGCGGUGAAAUGCGCAGAUAUCGGGAGGAACACCAGUAGCGAAGGCGGCUCGCUGGGCCACACCUGACGCUGAGACGCGAAAGCUAGGGGAGCGAACAGG